CUGUUGGGUAGUAGCUUUUCCUUGGCACCCUUUAUCAUUGUGGUGGCUGUGUGCACUUUAUUAGCCAUGGUUGCUACUCUUCCAGUUGCACAACUUUUCUUCUUCCAUAUUCUUUUAAUAAAAAAGGGAAUCAGCACCUAUGAUUACAUUAUUGCUUUGAGGGAGCAAGAUCAGGAGCAGGAGCAACUUGCUGUUGGU